GCUUGUCUCAAAGAUUAAGCCAUGCAUGUCUAAGUAUAAAUCUUUUACUUUGAAACUGCGAACGGCUCAUUAUAUCAGUUAUAGUUUAUUUGAUAGUCCCUUACUACUUGGAUAACCGUAGUAAUUCUAGAGCUAAUACAUGCGUCAAUACCCUUCUGGGGUAGUAUUUAUUAGAUUGAAACCAACCGCUUCGGCGUGAUGUGGUGAUUCAUAAUAACUUUGCGAAUCGCAUGGCCUUGUGCCGGCGAUGAAUCAAUCAAAUUUCUGCCCUAUCAACUUUCGAUGGUACGGUAUUGGCCUACCAUGGUUACAACGGGUAACGGGGAAUUAGGGUUCGGUUCCGGAGAGGGAGCCUGAGAAAUGGCUACCACAUCCAAGGAAGGCAGC
rnacentral:rRNA from 1 species